AUCGUGUAGACAGAAGAAGGAACCGGCAGUGCUUGCGCAAUCAAUUAAAUAUUAGCAAAAUUCCCGACGUAGUGUUUGUAGGAAAUCACACGACUCAGUCGGCAAUUUUUCGAAGAGUUGAGCCAGGAAUUCGUGCCUUUAUUAUCUCCAAACAACACAUAUUGUAAUUGUUAGACCUUCUGGAGCAUGAGGAACAAUAUUUUAAUCGAAAAUAUUUUCAUUCUCUUAACACCCAAGUUAUAUGUGACAGUGAUUGCUAUACCCAUAACAAAUGUGAAUGUGUCAUUUGGUGGAGCAACACAUGAUGCUUAUAUUCGGAGAGAGUGUGAUGUUAGAAGCCACUUGGAAGGUCUCCAGAAUUAAACAGUUUAUCUAUUAGGUGACUCUGGGUAUGCUCUAAGGGAGCAUAUGAUGACACCUAUAGAUAAAGCUCUUGAAGGCAGAUACAACUUUGCAGAGCUUUGUUAGUGCACAUUUUGGAAGGAAUAGGUAGGACAAAGUUCUACUCGAGCACAUCAUAACAUGUUCAACUAGAACUAUAUUAAUUAUCGAUUUUAAGAAUUUGACAUGAUAUUAUUACUUUUAAUAAAAGAGAGUUUAAUAAAAGAAUAAAAUAUAUGCUUAAA